rnacentral:rRNA from 1 species
GAAUUCGCCCUUAGAGUUUGAUCCUGGCUCAGGACGAACGCUGGCGGCGCGCCUAACACAUGCAAGUCGAACGAGCGAGAGAGAGCUUGCUUUCUCAAGCGAGUGGCGAACGGGUGAGUAACGCGUGAGGAACCUGCCUCAAAGAGGGGGGCAACAGUUGGAAACGACUGCUAAUACCGCAUAAGCCCACGGGUCGGCAUCGACCAGAGGGAAAAGGAGCAAUCCGCUUUGAGAUGGCCUCGCGUCCGAUUAGCUAGUUGGUGAGGUAAUGGCCCACCAAGGCGACGAUCGGUAGCCGGACUGAGAGGUUGAACGGCCACAUUGGGACUGAGACACGGCCCAGACUCCUACGGGAGGCAGCAGUGGGGAAUAUUGCACAAUGGGGGAAACCCUGACGCAGCGACGCCGCGUGCGGGACGGAGGCCUUCGGGUCGUAAACCGCUUUCAGCAGGGAAGAGUCAAGACUGUACCUGCAGAAGAAGCCCCGGCUAACUACGUGCCAGCAGCCGCGGUAAUACGUAGGGGGCGAGCGUUAUCCGGAUUCAUUGGGCGUAAAGCGCGCGUAGGCGGCCCGGCAGGCCGGGGGUCGAAGCGGGGGGCUCAACCCCCCGAAGCCCCCGGAACCUCCGCGGCUUGGGUCCGGUAGGGGAGGGUGGAACACCCGGUGUAGCGGUGGAAUGCGCAGAUAUCGGGUGGAACACCGGUGGCGAAGGCGGCCCUCUGGGCCGAGACCGACGCUGAGGCGCGAAAGCUGGGGGAGCGAACAGGAUUAGAUACCCUGGUAGUCCCAGCCGUAAACGAUG